AAGACUAUACUUUCAGGGAUCAUUUCUAUAGUUUGUUACUAGAGAAGUUUCUCUGAUUGUGUAGAGCACCCGAAACCAUGAGGAGGAGAUGCAGUGUUCUCUCCUGAGC
rnacentral:snRNA from 1 species